rnacentral:lncRNA from 1 species
UGCCUUCUGUUCAAUCGUGGAGGGCCUUUGGAGGUUGGAGGUCAUUGGAUCAUAUUACAGUGGUUUAGAGACAUUGAUAACUUACAGAUCACACUGGAGAUUAAUUCUGGUUCAGCCAGCGCCUGCCAAGUUGAAAGUAAAGACCCAAGCCCACGGGGAAGUCAGUCUCGGCAUUGGCCACGGACUCGCUGUCGCUGGUACAUUUCCACAGAGGAAGAGAUUUGCAAUAGUAAAUCUCCAGGGUUUGAUAAGAACACUAAGUAUGGUUUGUUUUGAAAGGCAUGAACACACUUGCAAUUAAUCGGUAACCCAGCCAAGUAAAGGAGCGUGCCAGCCCAGGGCAAGCUCUGAUGUCUUAGAACACGGACA